rnacentral:rRNA from 1 species
UACGGGGGGUGCAAGCGUUGUCCGGAUUUAUUGGGUUUAAAGGGUGCGCAGGCGGUCUGUUAAGUCAGUGUUUAAAUCGUGCAGCUUAACUGUACUAUGGCACUGAUACUGACGGGCUUGAGUGUAGUCGAGGUUGGCGGAAUUUAUGGUGUAGCGGUGAAAUGCUUAGAUACCAUAAAGAACACCGAUAGCGAAGGCAGCUAGCCAGGCUACUACUGACGCUCAUGCACGAAAGCGUGGGGAUCAAACAGG